ACAGAUCACGGCCAUAUUAUUAAAAGCUUGCGGUAAGAAGGGGUUUCGUUCUAGCGCCCGGAAAUAAUAUUCCAAAGCCUUUGUAUGCUCUCCAUUGCUUGUGUGUAUAAGGCCUAUGUUAUAUAGUAUAUAACUUCGAUCAUAGGGAUCAUUUCUAGUCGCGUAGCUUCAUAAUAAUUCUGCAAAGCUUCCGCAUAAUUCCUUCGGAUUGAGCCAACAUCCGUUACGGUCGUUCAUUCUAUUCAAAAAAUCUCCGUUCCAAAACCGUACAUGAGGUUUCAUCUCAUACGGCUUCUCCCUUCUAUACAUAGUACUAAGCGAAAAAUCUAUAGAAUAAAAAUCGAAUUAGUCCCAUCUCAUUAUGGACCGAAGGGGGCUGGUAUUUUUCCAAGAAAUCUCUAGCCAACCUUCCCCCAAGAGGUUUUUCUUAACACCAAUGAAUUAUAUUAAUGCUAGAGGAAAACGAUAGCUCCAAGAAUUUCUUUGUUCUCAACGCCUCCUAUUUAGAGGAAUUAGCCACUUCAACGACCUUUGAUGGUUAUAAGGGUAUCCAAAGUACAAACCUGAUGGUUGUUUGUUAUCCCAACCAUUCUUCCCAACCCUGAUACCAAUCAGGAAAGGGCUAAUUUCUAACAAAGUUUUUCUCUUGUUGAUUCCUAUUUCGUGGUGUAGUGCUUUUCUCCCCUAUGCUGCCUAUUGGUACUAGUAGAGUCGGAUUGCCCUGUAAUACAGAACCUAUCCUGUAGGUGUAACCUUUCGCUCAAUACUCAAAUCUACAAUUGAAGCAUCUGAGGCCACAUCAAUCGAGGAUACACGACAGAAGGAAUUGUUAGUUCACCUCACCUUCCCCAAGCGCGGGUUUCCUUUACUAAUUUUGUUCUCUCUAUGCGAACCCUCUCUCUUUCUCGUAAGAAUGAGAUAUAGGUAGGGCUAAAAAAAAAAGAGUCAAAUCGCGCACCAUCUCUAUAAUAAGUAAAUGCCCUUUUUCCCCGGAGGUUGUCGGAAUUAUUUGCAAUAAAAUAUUGGCUACAAUCGAGGAGGUCUUAUCAAUGAAAUUUCCAUUUAUACGGGAUCUAGGCAUAAUUCCCAACCCAUUCUAUAUAGAAUUCUUUCAUUCUAUCACAAAAUAACAUAAAAACAAAACAUUCGAUUCUUAUAAAUCGAUCCAUAUGCUCUAAAUGGAUAAGAGAGAUAUGGAUUUUCCGCUCAGCUCAAAUUGUCUCCUUUUCCUUCUGUUUGGACAAGAAGAGAAGAGAUAUGAAAUAUUUGACUAAGACUGGAUUUCAUUCCACUUUCCUAUUUCUCAACAACAACUUCCCUCAUCAGCUAUUUCGCGUUUUCAAAGUCAUUAAUUGCCCCAUACCCCUUUUAUAUUUAGAUUGUAUGGCGUAAUGUACCUUAUGCAAAUGGAAUUCUAGGGUUCCUUUAUUUUCUUAUGGAAUAAGAAGAAUUCUUCCAUUCUCUUUUUAUUUUGGUUUUCCCCAAAGAAAAACUUUUCGAGGGAGCAGAAUUCCUAGUAAAAAAAUACAGGAUCCUUCCACUUAGAUGAAAAGGAAUUUUUCCAUCCAAUCCAAUAGAGCCAUGGAAUUCCCGAGCCGUUGUGGCUGUACCUGUACUGCAGGAAUACGAAAACUCGCUAUUCACUCAGUUUAUUUUCCAUAAUAAGAUUAUGUAGGAGAGAUGGCCGAGCGGUUCAAGGCGUAGCAUUGGAACUGCUAUGUAGACUUUUGUUUACCGAGGGUUCGAAUCCCUCUCUUUCCGUUUCUCUUAAUUCAUCAAUGUUAGCGAUCACAAUGUAUCAAAUUAAAUAACAAUUUAUUCCAACAAUAAUACCUUUAAUUAAUAGAAAUUCUCUAUAGCAAAUUACUGUGGUAUGUAAAAUACACAUCGAGGAAAUAACAAAAAAGAAAAAAGUAUCCUAGGGUUAAUCUAUUUCUGCUAGGUGAACGGGAAAAUACGAAUUAAGAGCCUUAGGUCGAUUAGUUCGGGGAAAGGGGAAGGGGAAAAAAAUUCUAUGAACCUUUCCUUUUUCGUUAAGUCAAGUCUGGCGAGAAUAAUAUUCUACAACUAACAACUCAUUUAUUUUGAGACCGACCCACUUCCUAUCUAGAAUUUUUUUUACUAGUCCUUUAUAUUGCAAUGUGUCAACCGUCAAAUGCUUUGGUAAUUUGCCCGGAUCGGAUGAAGCAAUAUAAUUUUGAACCAAACGUUUUGAUCGUUGGUUAUCCUUCGUAGUAAUAAUAUCUCGGGGUUUGCAACGAAAGCUUGGUAUAUCAACUAUACGACCAUUAACUAAAAUAUGUCUAUGGUUAACUAAUUGUCGGGCCCAGGAAUGGUUGAAGCCAUACCCAAUCGAAAAAGGAUAUUAUCCAAACGCAUUUCAAGUAAUUGUAGUAAAACCUGACCUGUGGAUCUUUUUGCUUUUCCAGCGAUAUGUACAUAUCUAAGUAAUUGUCGUUCUGUCAGACCAUAAUGAAAACGCAAUUUCUGUUUUUCUUGAAGACGAAUACGAUAUUGCUCUUUUUUCCCAGAAUGGAAUUUCUUUUUCUGAUUACUUCCGGAUUUAGGCGUUUUUCUAGUGAGUCCUGGUAAAGCUCCCAGACGGCGUAUUUUUUUUAAACGAGGCCCUCGAUAACGGGACAUGAAGACUCCUUUUUUAUUUUAUUGAAAUUUCAUUUUACACAAUAAAUUUCGUUCUAUUUACAUUACAGAAUACAGCGAAAUUCAAACAGAAUUAAACUAAAGGAUAAACAGAGUAAAAUCUACUAAAGUAACACAAAAAUGGAGUAACACAAAAAAUGGAAUUCAUCAACAUCUGGAUUUUUUGUAUAUAUAUUAUUUAUUUUUAUGCUUUGUAUCUAGCAAAAUUGUAAGGUAAAACGACAUAAUAGACCCUGGAUUCCCCAUUUUAUUCGGAGAAAAAAGAGAAAUUCUUGUUCAUAGAACAUCGAUAGAAAAAAAGCCGACUAUCGGAUUUGAACCGAUGACCCUCGCAUUACAAAUGCGAUGCUCUAACCUCUGAGCUAAGUGGGCUUACAUAACAGAAAUAGUGUAACAAAUAAAAAUAUAUAUAGGGAAUCUGUAAAAUGUCAGAUCUUAAUUAUUAAUCUUAGUUAUUAACUAGUUCUAAAUUGGAAGUUCCACUUAGAUAGAAAAAAAAAAAUACUAGAAUUUCAUAAAGAUAAAGUUAGCUUGAUAUGCUUAACUAAAUGAUAUUCUUAAAUAGGAUUAUAGAAUUUAUUGAACUUUCUUUUUAUUUCUCUAAUUCGCAAAUGGAUUUUUUUAAUAGAAUCUAUUCCAAAUUCUAUAUUGAAUUUGAUUUCAGAUAUUUUCAAUUUGAUAUGGCUCGGAGGAAUAAUCUAAUACAUAGAAAAGAAGAAAAAGAAGAAUAUAUAUGAAUAAUAUAAUAAAGAGAAAAUGCCAAGAGAUUGGCAUUUUCAUUUGAUCAUUAUAUACAUUUUUGAGAUAUUUUGUUUUUUUAUUUGUUAAUAAUUUAAGGAUAAAUAGUUCACUAAGGAGAAGAUAGAAUCAUAGCAAAUGAAAUUUCUAAUUCAGUUUAGAAAAAAAGAAUGAAUAUCAAGCGUUAUAGUAUGAUUUGGAAUACUCUAAAAAAGGAAGGAGGGAGGCGGGAGAGAGAAAAACUUUUGGAUAUAUUCAUUCCGAUUGAAUUGCAAAUAUAUCAACGAUAAAAUCAAUGCAAUUCUGAAUUGCAAUAAGCGAGCGGGGUGUCUCAAAUAGAGAUGAGUUGCUAGACUACGUCGAAUAAUGAAUUCAAUGAUUCAAAAAAAACUAAGAGAUGGAUUAAAUUAUACAAGGAAUCCUGGUUUCAAAGAAAAGUAAAAUGGGGAUAUGGCGAAAUCGGUAGACGCUACGGACUUGAUUGUAUUGAGCCUUGGUAUGGAAACCUGCUAAGUGGUAACUUCCAAAUUCAGAGAAACCCUGGAAUGAAAAAUGGGCAAUCCUGAGCCAAAUCCCUUUUUUGAAAACAAGUGGUUCUCAAACUAGAACCCAAAGGAAAAGGAUAGGUGCAGAGACUCAAUGGAAGCUGUUCUAACGAAUCGAAGUAAUAACGAUUAAUCACAGAACCCAUAUUAUAAUAUAGGUUCUUUAUUUUAUUUUAGAAUGAAAUUAGGAAUGAUUAUGAAAUAGAAAAUUCAUAAUUUUUUUUUAGAAUUAUUGUGAAUCCUAUUCCAAUCAAAUAUUGAGUAAUCAAAUCCUUCAAUUCAUUGUUUUCGAGAUCUUUUAAUUUUUAAAAGUGGAUUAAUCGGACGAGGAUAAAGAGAGAGUCCCAUUCUACAUGUCAAUACUGACAACAAUGAAAUUUCUAGUAAAAGGAAAAUCCGUCGACUUUAUAAGUCGUGAGGGUUCAAGUCCCUCUAUCCCCAAACCCUCUUUUAUUCCCUAACCAUAGUUGUUAUCCUUUUUUUCUUUUAUCAAUGGGUUUAAGAUUCACUAGCUUUCUCAUUCUACUCUUUCACAAAGGAGUGCGACAAGAACUCAAUGAAUCUUAUGCUAUUCAUUAAAUAGAUGAUUUCUUUUUAUUUCUUUUUUAUUUAUUAGAGUAGAGUAUCGGCAAGGAAUCUCGAUUAUUAAUUCGUUUUUUUUAAGUAUUAUUAAGUAAGCCAUCCACAAUGCAUAGGACUACCCCUCCCCAUUUCCUAAUUUUGAAUGGAAUACUUUAUUGAUUUUUUAGUCCCUUUAAUUGACAUAGAUGCAAAUACUUUACUAAGAUGAUGCACAAGAAAGGGUCAGGAUAGCUCAGUUGGUAGAGCAGAGGACUGAAAAUCCUCGUGUCACCAGUUCAAAUCUGGUUCCUGGCACAGAAAAAAAGGAUCUACUGAAUAGAUAUUGAUACAAAUAUUUUGAGAUGGAUUGGGGUAAAUAUUUUAUUAAAAAUCUACUUAGUCUUUAGUCUAGAGUAAGUAGAUAAAUCUCUAGAGUAAGUAGAUAAAUCUCUAAACACUUCUUUUCUUUUAAAAAAAGGGUUUAAAAUCUCUGGUUCUUUAUGGUAUAGAAAGAGGUGAGAUUAGGUGCCCUUUUCUUCAUUUUGCAUUUCUUAUUAAUUUUGUAUACCGCUAUUCCGAAGAAUAUUUUUUUUUAUUCUUGCUUAUCCUACUUUCCCAGUUGUUCUAAGUAAUAUGCGCGGUACAAAGUUCGUGGUAGGAACUUCUUUGAGUCAUUGUAUUUUUCUGUUCAUACGAAGGAAACAAAUAUGUGAUUUUCCAAAUUGGAAAAUAGAAAUGAAGCCCUUUUUGUUCAGUCUAUCUGGACCUUUUUGUAUAAUAGGAAUUAAUUAGAAUAUUAUAUUCUAAGUAUUUCGUUUCGUCUAGGAACAGAACGUCAAAAUAUUCCUUGACUUGAAUAAAAUCUGGAAUUGUGUUGUAUAAGUGAACAUGAAUUUAUUAUCACUCAAUGAGCAUCUUGUAUUUCAUAGAAAUUGGGGGUUAUAUAGUCCUUACGUAAGGGCCAGCCUAUCCAACUUUCAGGCAUUAAGAUACGUUUAAGACGUGGAUGAUUAUCAUAAGAAAUUCCCACCAUAUCAUAAGAUUCGCGUUCUUGAAAAUCGGCACUUCUCCAAACCCAGAAAACAGACGGGAUUCUAGGAUUAUCCUUUUGGGCAAAGACUUUUAUGCAUACCUCUUCUGGGUUAUCUAUACCAUACUGUAUUCUCGUAAGAUGAUACACGCUAGCUAAAGAUCCACCGGGUGCUACGUCAUAAGCACAUUGGGAACGUAAAUAAUUGUAACCAUAUACAUAUAAAAUGACAGCAAUGAAUCCCAAUCCCCCGCUUUUAUUUGUAAAGUCUCUACUCCUCGAUGAUCGAAGCCCAAAGACCUAUGAACCACGUCAUGUUUAACUAGCCAAUUAGAUAACCAACCCUGCUGCAUUGUCUUGAUCUCUCCCCCUUUGUAUAAAUAUUUCACAUUUCAAAUGCAAGUUUGAAAGAUUGUACUGCUCUUUUCUUUCUUUUUCUGCACAAAAGAACCCCUCCUAAUUCACUAAUUUGUAGGAAGAUACUGAACUUUUGGAUUUGAAAAAAGUUUCAGAAGAUAUAUCUAAAGUAGAUGGUGAUUGAUAGAGCAAUUCUUGUUCGUAAGUUCCAGUGUGAGUACUGCGCCGAACAUAAAGUUUGUGACGGGUAGUAAAAGAUCUAUUUUUCUUUUGACUUUGACAUAGAGUUCGAUCCUCAAUUAUUUCUCGCGCUAUCUUCUUACGAAGUUUUGUUAGGGCAUCUAUAACAGCCUCUGGUUUAGGCGGGCAACCCGGCAGGUAGACGUCCACAGGAAUUAACUUAUCAACUCCUCGAACAGUACUAUAGGAAUCUGUACUGAACAUGCCCCUGUAAUAGUACAGGCUCCCAUAGCAAUGACGUAUUUCGGUUCAGGCAUUUGCUCAUAUAAUCGCACUAAAGAUGGAGCCAUUUUCAUUGUUACCGUACCAGCUGUUAAAUUAGGUCCGCUUGUCUAGGACUUGAUCUUGGUACCAAUCCAUAACGAUCAAAGUCGAAUCGUGAGCCUAUUAAUGAAGCAAAUUCAAUGAAACAACAACUGGUACCAUAUAGAAGGGGCCAUAAACUUGAGAGUCUUGACCAAUUUGAAAGAUCGUUUGGUGUAGUUGAAAUAACGGAAUUGGAACUUGUUUGGUCGAGUAACGGAAACUCAAUCAAACUCAUAAUUGUCUCAAUGGAAUCUUUUCCUUCUUUUUUUUUUUUUCUGAAUAUUCAGUUAAGACCAUUCCAAGGCUCCUUUUCGCCAUGCAUAAACUAAACCAACAACUAGGAUAAGCACAAAAAUGAAAGCUUCGAUAAAAACGGAUACACCCAAUACGUCGAAAACUCAUUGCCCAAGGGUAGAGAAAGACUGUUUCCACAUCAAAAACAACAAAAACUAGCGCAAACAUGUAAUAGCGUAUUCGGAAUUGUAACCAAGCCCCCCCAUGGGUUCUAUACCCGAUUCAUAACUAGAAAGCUUCUCUGGUCCUUCACUAACCGGGGCUAAAAGUCCUGAAAUCCAAAAUACCAAAAUAGGAAUAAGGCUUGCUAUUAUUAGAAAUGUCCAAAAAAUAUCAUAUUCGUGAAGCAGAAACAUAAUGUACUCCCAUUAAUGUGGAAUAGGCGGAACUGAAUUAGUCAAUUCAAGUUGACAUUGUCAAUUUAUCCAGAACUUCUCUCUUUUCCUCGGUGAAACAAGAAUCUGUUUUGCUCAAAACCAAAGGCAAGGAGCGCUUACUUUAGCCUUUAUUUCUUUUGUGAUAUGUCUUCCUUAAGGAUUCAUCCAAUGUAAUCCCCACUUCCCUUCUUUUUGAUUUCCCUUCUAUUUAGAUAUGAUAUAGACCUAAUUCUUAUACAAAGAAAACUCUUUCGCUUCACUUUGUCUCACUUUCUCUAGAAUCUCUAGAAAAAAGAAUUGCUCUACCCUUUAUUUAAUGAUAGUCAGAGACUAUUAAAUAAAAAGAAAAUACUUACUACUAAUUGGAUUAGAACCUAAUUAAAAUAGGAUGAUUAAUAUAUAUUAAAAUAGGAUGAUUAAUAUAUACAUCCUAAUGAGGAGUAAUACUAAAAAAAAAGAACUCUAUUUCAGAAUUAUGAAACAGAAUAUCCUGUUUUAUUAUUUACUCUUUCUUUUUUUUUUUCUUUCGAUUUUUCUAUUUUAUUUAAAGUGGAUCGAUUUAGAUAAUGUAUAUGAUAGUAAUAUACUUCAAAUAAAAUAGGAAUUCGCAAAAUGGAGAAAAUCGUUGCAGUCAUUAUAGGAAAGUAUGGGAAGACUUAGAGCAUAUCCUAUUUAAAGGAGGAUGAAAUUCAAAUCAGGUAAGGGAUCCUUCCUUCUAUUGAUUUGAUCAAAAUUCUUUUUUCUUUUCCUGUCUCUCUGAUUUGCGUUUCGAUGAAUGAGGCCUAUGGUAAUGCUUUUAUCUCUAUUCUAUGGCGCAAUCGACCGUCGAGUCUAUAAACAAGUACUAAAUAAGGAAAAGAAAACUAUACUAAAGGAAACAUAAGAUAUCCAUCCUAAAAUGGAAAAAAGACGUAUAUAUUAGGGCUAUACGGAUUCGAACCGUAGACCUUCUCGGUAAAACAGAUCAAACAGAUUAUUAUCGAAAUGAUUCGAACUGUUUCAAAGACCCAACAUGCAUUUUUCUGCAUUGGGCUCUUUCAUCAACUAAUGUAAAAGAUCAGUUAAUUCGCCAUAGUUUUUCUUUAGGGAAAGAUAAUAGAUGGCUCCCUGUGCUCUGAUUGAUUAUUUGUCUUAUGAUCUAUCUAGGAACAAUACCAAAGUGUUUCAAAGGAGGAUUACCUUGACUUAGGUCUGCCUCCGGCCUAAAUUAAAUCAACCUAAGUGAAAUGGAGUCUCUAUCGUUCCGCUGCAAGAGUUUACUAUGAGACUUCAUACACCUUAAAGUUCAUAGAACGAAAAGAAGUUUUUGGAGGCCCUUAUCCUCAUUACGCCUAGCAUUGAGUGGGCUGGAUAUUUACCUUAUCAACUAGCAAAUCAAUAGGAGUUCUAUUUGAGUAAGCACCUUAAUUGGCACCUGAAUCGGACUGAACCAGCUGUUUGUCAUUGUCAGGCUACUGUUCUUCUAUUCUUUCGAAUCCAUGAAGUAAGACAUUGAUUUUGCAACAAGGUCAAUUAUGUUCAUUGCAUAAAAAGUUCCCUUGAAAAGCAUUGGCGCACGUGUAAACGAGUUGCUCUACCGAACUGAGCUAUAGCCCUUGUCAGAGAUAUCUUAACAUAUAGAUAAUUUCUUGUCAAGAUGAAUAUUCUCUAAUGCCAGAGGAUAUCCCUUUGAUCCGUUUACUAUAUAACAUAAACAUACCAAUAACGGAGCGGUAUUGCUUAUAAAAAGGAUUCAAUCUAUAAUCGAUCGAAGUAAUGGGGCUUCUUUUGUGGUGAUAAAUUGCCUACUUAACUCAGUGGUUAGAGUAUUGCUUUCAUACGGCGGGAGUCAUUGGUUCAAAUCCAAUAGUAGGUAGGUAGGUAGAAAAAUUACUAGAUAGCAUUGGACUUACUUCGCUUCGCUAUCUAAUAACUUUUUCUACCUUCUUUCCUUUUUCUUUGUAUCAACGAAAUCUUUGGAUUGUCUUCAAUUGGAUGGGGGAAUCCAAUUGACAGCCUCGACUCGUAUCCUAGCUCGUCUGAGAGCUAGCUUCGCUUCAACCAAUUCUUUCGUACCUUCAGCUUUACUCAAGUUAGCUUCGGCUAUUUCAAGUGCCUGUUGAGCUUCUUCUGGAUCAAUGUCACUACCCAGUUCUGCAUCAUUUCCUAAAAUGAUGAUCUCAUUAUUAACUAUUCUUGCAAAACCACUCCACAGAACCGCCGUUAACCAUUGGUCGUUCAGGAGGCGUAUUCUCAAAGGACCCAUAUCUACAGCUGUGUUAAUGGGGGCGUGGUUUGGUAAUACACCAAUUUGGCCACUAUUAGUAGAUAAAAUGAUUUCUUUCACUUCACAAUCCAAAUAAUUCGUUUAGGAGUCAGUACAUAAAGAUUUAAUUUCAUUUCUUCAAUUUGCUCUCCUCUUCUAAGUUUAUAGCUUUCGUGCUAGCUUCAUCGAUGUUCCCCACUAAAUAAAAGCCUGUUCGGGUAGGCCGUCUAAUUCUCCGGAAAGGAUUAGUUGAAAUCCCCUUAAUUGUUUUCUGCAAGACCAACAUACUUUCCUGGAGAACCGGUAAAAACUUCUGCCACAAAGAACGGUUGUGAUAAGAACCGCUCGAUUUUUCGUGCUCUUGCUACAGUUAAACGAUCCUCCUCCGAUAAUUCAUCCAAUCCAAGAAUUGCGAUAAUGUCCUGAAGUUCUUUGUAACGUUGUAAAGUUUCCUUAACUCUUUGCGCAGUUUCAUAAUGUUCGUUGCCAACAAUCCGAGGCUGUAACAUAGUUGAGGUUGAAUCUAAAGGAUCCACUGCGGGAUAAAUACCCUUGGAAGCUAAUCCUCUGGAAAGUACGGUAGUAGCGUCCAAAUGUGCAAAUGUUGUGGCAGGAGCAGGGUCGGUCAAAUCGUCUGCAGUACAUAAACUGCUUGGAUCGAAGUUAUAGAUCCCUUUUUGGUAGAAGUAAUUCUUUCUUGCAAAGAACCCAUUUCUGUACUAAGGGUAAGGUUGAUAACCCACUGCGGAGGGCAUUCUGCCUAAUAAGGCGGAUACUUCCGAUCCUGCUUGAACAAAACGAAAGAUAUUAUCGAUGAAUAAAAGCACGUCUUGCUUAUUAACAUCUCGGAAAUAUUCUGCAUAGUUAGGGCAGUUAAACCAACUCUCAUACGAGCUCCCGGCGGUUCAUUCAUUUGGCCAUAGACUAGAGCUACCUUUGAUUCCUCAAUAUUUUUUUCAUUAAUUACUCCGGAUUCCUUCAUUUCCAUAUAAAGAUCAUUUCCUUCACGAGUCCGUUCCCCUACUCCGCCAAAUACGGAUACGCCUCCAUGAGCUUUAGCAAUGUUAUUGAUUAAUUCCAUGAUGAGUACUGUUUUACCUACUCCUGCCCCCCCAAACAGUCCGAUUUUUCCUCCACGUCGAUAGGGAGCUAAAAGAUCGACCACCUUAAUACCUGUUUCAAAGAUAGAUAAUUUCGUAUCUAACUCGAUAAAGGCAGGCGCAGAUCUAUGAAUAGGAAAUGUUGCACUAGUAUCCACAGGACCCAAAUUGUCAAUAGGCUCCCCAAGAACGUUAAAAAUUCGUCCGAGAGUAGCUCCACCGACUGGAACACUGAGAGGAGUUCCCGUGUCAAUCACUUCCAUUCCUCUCAUCAACCCCUCUGUAGCACUCAUAGCCACAGCUCUAACUCGAUUAUUUCCUAAUAAUUGUUGUACCUCACAAGUCACAUUAAUUUGCUUAUCGGCAGUGUCUCGACUCUUGACUAUCAAAGCAUUAUAAAUAUAAGGCAACUUGCCCGGGGGAAAAGUGAUAUCCAGCACGGGUCCAAUAAUUUGAUCAAUACGCCCUACGCUUUUUUCUUCAAUUGUGGAAAUCCCGGGACGCGAAGUAGUAGGAUUGGUUCUCAUAAUUAUCACAUAAUUUUCAAAAAAAAAGGAAUUUGUCGAAAUUUUUUUUCUUGUUGAAUAAUGCCAAAUCAAAAAAAAUAUCCAAAAAUCCAAAAGUCAAAAGGAAAUGAAUUAGUUAAUUCAAUAAAAAAGAAAAGGGGACUCGCACUUGAUUUCGUUGCCCAAGCGAAUCCCAUUCAAUCGUUUACUUAUGGAAUGAAUCCGUUGGAAAGUUCAUCCAUUUUUUUCAUAUAAAUUUCGCCUUUUGUGAAGGAUCUGUGCCUACUCUACUUUCCUAUCUAGGACUUCGAUAUACAAAAUAUAUACUACUGUGAAGCAUAGAUUGCUGUCAACAGAGAAUUUUCUUAGUAUUUAGGUAUUUAGAUUCAAAAUAUCAAAGGGGAAGAACUUUAAAAAUUGUAAAAUAAAGAUUAGGGUUUGGGUUGCGCUAUAUCUAUCAAAGAGUAUACAAUAAUGAUGGAUUUGGUGAAUCAAAUCCACGGUUUAAUAACGAACCGUGUUAACUUACCAUACAACAACUCAAUUCCUAUCGAAUUCCUUCCUAUCGAAUUCCUAUAGUAAAAUUCCUAUAGGAUAGAACGUACACAGGGUGUACACAUUAUAUAUGAAUGAAACAUAUUCAUUAACUUAAGCAUACUCCUUUUUUUAUUUAAUGAGUUGAUAUUAAUUAAAUAUCUUUUUUUUUAGAUUUUUGCAAAGGUUUCAUUUACGCCUAAUCCAUAUCGAGUUAGACCCUGUCGUUGUGAGAAUUCUUAAUUCAUGAGUUGUAGGGAGGGACUUAUGUCACCACAAACAGAAACUAAAGCAAGUGUUGGAUUUAAAGCUGGUGUUAAGGAUUAUAAAUUGACUUACUACACCCCGGAGUACGAAACCAAGGAUACUGAUAUCUUGGCAGCAUUCCGAGUAACUCCUCAGCUCGGGGUUCCGCCUGAAGAAGGCAGGAGCUGCAGUAGCUGCGGAAUCUUCUACUGGUACAUGGACAACUGUUUGGACUGAUGGACUUACCAGUCUUGAUCGUUACAAAGGACGAUGCUAUCACAUCGAGCCCGUUCCUGGGGACCCAGAUCAAUAUAUCUGUUAUGUAGCUUAUCCAUUAGACCUAUUUGAAGAGGGUUCUGUUACUAACAUGUUUACUUCCAUUGUGGGUAACGUAUUUGGUUUCAAAGCCUUACGCGCUCUACGUUUGGAGGAUCUACGAAUUCCCCCUGCUUAUUCAAAAACUUUCAAGGUCCGCCUCACGGUAUCCAAGUUGAAAGGGAUAAGUUGAACAAGUACGGUCGUCCUUUAUUGGGAUGUACUAUUAAACCAAAAUUGGGAUUAUCCGCAAAAAAUUACGGUAGAGCGUGUUAUGAGUGUCUACGCGGUGGACUUGAUUUUACCAAAGAUGAUGAAAACGUAAACUCACAACCAUUUAUGCGCUGGAGAGACCGUUUUGUCUUUGUGCCGAAGCAAUUUAUAAAGCACAAGCCGAAACUGGUGAAAUCAAGGGGCAUUACUUGAAUGCGACUGCAGGUACAUGCGAAGAAAUGAUUAGAGAGCUGUAUUUGCAAGGGAAUUAGGGGUUCCUAUUGUAAUGCAUGACUACUUAACAGGAGGAUUCACCGCAAAUACUACUUUGUCUCAUUAUUGCCGCGACAACGGCCUACUUCUUCACAUUCACCGAGCAAUGCAUGCAGUUAUUGAUAGACAGAAAAAUCAUGGUAUGCAUUUCCGUGUAUUAGCUAAAGCAUUGCGUAUGUCGGGGGGAGAUCAUAUCCACUCCGGUACAGUAGUAGGUAAGUUAGAAGGGGAACGCGAAAUAACUUUAGGUUUUGUUGAUUUAUUGCGCGAUGAUUUUAUUGAAAAAGAUCGUUCUCGCGGUAUCUUUUUCACUCAGGACUGGGUAUCCAUGCCAGGUGUUAUACCGGUGGCUUCUGGGGUAUUCAUGUUUGGCAUAUGCCAGCUCUGACCGAAAUCUUUGGAGAUGAUUCCGUAUUACAAUUUGGUGGAGGAACUUUAGGACAUCCUUGGGGAAAUGCACCUGGUGCAGCAGCUAAUCGUGUGGCUUUAGAAGCCUGUGUACAAGCUCGUAACGAAGGGCGCGAUCUUGCUCGUGAAGGUAAUGAAAUUAUCAAAGCAGCUUGCAAAUGGAGUGCUGAACUUAGCCGCAGCUUGUGAAAUAUGGAAGGAGAUCAAAUUUGAUGGUUUUCAAAGCGAUGGAUACCAUAUAAAAUAAAAAAAAAAGCAAAAUAGAAAGAGAAAAAAUAAGUUAAGAAAUGCAGUAAUUCUUCUUUAUUCCUCUAAUUGAUUGCAAUUCAAUUCGGCUCAAUCUUUUCUAAAAAAAAAAA